GACGGAAGGUGCAAGCGUUGCUCGGAAUCACUGGGCGUAAAGGGCGCGUAGGCGGCCCGCUAAGUCGAACGUGAAAUCCCCGAGCUCAACUCGGGAACUGCGUCCGAUACUGGUGGGCUUGAAUCCGGGAGAGGGAUGCGGAAUUCCAGGUGUAGCGGUGAAAUGCGUAGAUAUCUGGAGGAACACCGGUGGCGAAGGCGGCAUCCUGGACCGGCAUUGACGCUGAGGCGCGAAAGCCAGGGGAGCAAACGGG
rnacentral:rRNA from 1 species